UACGAAGGGGGCGAGCGUUGUUCGGAAUUACUGGGCGUAAAGGGCGCGUAGGCGGCGACUCUAGUCAGAUGUGAAAGUCCUGGGCUUAACCUGGGGACUGCAUUUGAUACUGGGUUGCUUGAAUUCGGGAGAGGAUAGCGUAAUUCCCAGUGUAGAGGUGAAAUUCGUAGAUAUCGGGAGGAACACCAGUGGCGAAAGCGGCUACCUGGCCCAUUCUUGACGCUGAGGCGCGAAAGCUAGGGGAGCAAACGGG
rnacentral:rRNA from 1 species